AAAAAGUUAGUUUAACAAAAACAUUAAUUCGUCAAGUUAAAAUUACCAAAAAAAAAGUACUUUUUU
rnacentral:tRNA from 1 species